AAAAUUGUAGGUUAUUCUGACAAAUAUGACCGAGUAGUAGUUAUUCAUUUCUCUAGAGAAGUCCAAGGGAUUUUAGUUUCUUGAAACCAGCGGGUACUUCCUAUUUGAAAAGCGAUGGGGGAGGGGGUCACUCAGUCCAGUUCUCAUUUACAGUCAAUGUGAUGGAAAAGGUCUUGUGAAAUCAUCUUUACCAAAUGCCUUAUGAUGCCUCCAUGACAAAAGCAAUACAGAUGAAACAGCUUUCUUUGAUGAAAACAUUGACCUGAUUUAAUAUUUCAUUCCAGAAAUCAAGAUAUGAGUCCGAAGGCCUACUUUAAAAAUGCAGCAGAGGAAAUUUAGACUCUCACAAAAGUGAAGGUGUAUUUCUGUCCUGAAGUAUAUUUCAUCCUGCCUCCCUCGACAGCAGAAGUUCCGCGCUGUCCACAACCAUCUGUAAUCUAUGGCUAAUAAAGCAUGAGGGUGUUCCUGGGAAGAGGCGACUGUUGCACAGGGAUCUAUCCUUCUGUCUGAAAGACAAGCCUCUCCAUCUAAUGUCCAGUGGCAGCAUCAGAUACGCAGGCUGAACCGUUUCAAAACAGAGCUGCUAAUGACAGACAAUAAUAGACAAUGAGAUGUCAGAGGCGUCUGCCCCCAGCGUCUUUCAUGUGCCCUGCAGGAACCAUAAAGGGACAUAGAUCUACUCCCACUUUGGAAGGAAAAGAUUGAGCAUUUGACCAUCAGAGAAGAAAGUUAAGUAACUGAAGUCACAAGAAGAAUCAAAGGACAGUCACAUCCCAACAAGAAUAAAAACAACUUUUUUUCCCCAAGUAACAAUAUUCAGGCUUUAGAAAAUGUGUGUCAAAAGAGUGCUGAAAAGCGCCUGUAUUGAUUCGUAGUGUGGUUCCUGAGGUGUUGAAGCCCGGCCCGGUCACAGAAACUGCCCAUCUGCUGGGGAGAGCUCACUGACAUCAGGUCAGAUAGACAAGACCUAAAGUGAACGUUGGACGACCUUCAUCUCUUUUUAGUGGGCUGUGAUAAGACAACAGGAGGUGGGAUGUAGUUUUUUGUGACUGCAUUGAUUUAUGCAUCCAUUCAAUUUCUUCUGCAAGAGUGUAUUGAACAACAUAAAACGUUCCUCCAGGCAAAAAAGAAACUAUGAAUGAGUAGAAGUCCAAAGGUCUUCUACUGGUAAUCUUGGCAAAGUUCCCUUCCUGACGCAGCCCUCUCAAAGCAACCGGGCUUGGGACCGGCACAGAAGUAGAGAAGGGAACAGGGAGCAGCCUGGAUUCG